AUCCAGAUGACAAAUCCCAAAUAGGACGAAAUGAAGAUCCUGGAU
rfam:Trichobilharzia regenti genome assembly, scaffold: TRE_scaffold0000845